rnacentral:rRNA from 1 species
CGCGUAGGCGGGUGCUCAAGUCCGGGGUGAAAUCCUCCAGCUCAACUGGAGAACUGCCUCGGAUACUGGGUGCCUCGAGGGUGGUAGGGGUAUGCGGAACUAUCGGUGGAGCGGUGAAAUGCGUUGAUAUCGAUAGGAACUCCGGUGGCGAAGGCGGCAUACUGGACCACUUCUGACGCUGAGGCGCGAAAGCCAGGGGAGCAAACG